CCACAAAGCACUCAGAUAACGGCUGCAAUCAACAUUCAUUGCUGUCGGUGGGUUUUAGGUUCAGUCAGCUCUCUGACCAAUGAAUGCAAACUGCAGACCAGAUAACGACAAAGACGUAGA
rnacentral:precursor_RNA from 11 species